rnacentral:rRNA from 1 species
CCUACGGGUGGCAGCAGUGAGGCAUAUUGGUCAAUGGACGAGAGUCUGAACCAGCCAAGUAGCGUGAAGGAUGACUGCCCUAUGGGUUGUAAACUUCUUUUAUAUGGGAAUAAAAUGUUCCACGUGUGGGAUUUUGUAUGUACCAUAUGAAUAAGGAUCGGCUAACUCCGUGCCAGCAGCCGCGGUAAUACGGAGGAUCCGAGCGUUAUCCGGAUUUAUUGGGUUUAAAGGGAGCGUAGGUGGAUUGUUAAGUCAGUUGUGAAAGUUUGCGGCUCAACCGUAAAAUUGCAGUUGAAACUGGCAGUCUUGAGUACAGUAGAGGUGGGCGGAAUUCGUGGUGUAGCGGUGAAAUGCUUAGAUAUCACGAAGAACUCCGAUUGCGAAGGCAGUUCACUGGACUGCAACUGACACUGAGGCUCGAAAGUGUGGGUAUCAAACAGGAUUAGAUACCCUUGUAGUC